GGUGGCUCAGUGGCAGAGUACUUGCCUUGCAUGCAUGAGGCCCUGGGUUCAAUUCCUCAGCACCA
rnacentral:tRNA from 1 species